UUCCCUCAUUUUCCUUCAGCUCUCUCUCUCUCUAGCCGAGACUCUCUCUCUCAUCCUCCUUGCCGGAAAUCGCCGCCGCCGUACCACCGCCGCACCGCCGCCGGCCGCCGCCGUCGCCGGAACUCCUCUCCUCACCAAAAUUUCCAGAUUUUCUCCUCUUCCUUCCCUCUUUCCAUUUCUCCAACCAAAAUCAAGAAAUUUGGCCAUCCAACCCUCCAAAAACCCUAGAACCCGAAGCUAAUUUGGGGGUUUUUGUGAUUUCUUCUUUCCAAGCUUAAAUCAAGGCUACGGGUUUGACAAGGAUUUUUGGUGAAGAAGGCCAAGGAGAAGGAAUAGGACGUGAUUUUUGAAGAGGAAAUGGACCUGAGCGGGUGCACUUGGAUUUGGAUAAAGGAUCAAAAGUCGGGAACGAACCCGAAUGUGGGCAAGCACUCCAUUUCCAGUGUGCAGGUUUCGAGCAUGUGGUCGGGAAGCGUACAGGGGAGGCACAUGGCACGGCUUGGCGCAUUUCUCUUUAGUUUUAUCAAAAGAAGGUUUUGGUCCUUAAUCGGAUUUUGUAGUAGCUUGUUUAUUUACUUUUUAUUUAUUUCCUACUCGUUUACGAAAAUUCCGGGAGACCCGUAACCCUGGGGCGCGUCUCCCUUACUUGUCGUUACUUAGAGAUCAGUUUUAUUUUCCAAAUUGGGCUCCGAUCGCAAGCCCAAAACUCUUAGCCCAUUUCGAAUUCCGCUUUUGAAAA